rnacentral:rRNA from 1 species
UACAGAGGUCUCAAGCGUUGUUCGGAUUCAUUGGGCGUAAAGGGUGCGUAGGCGGCGCGGUAAGUCGGGUGUGAAAUCUUGGAGCUUAACUCCGAAACUGCAUUCGAUACUGCCGUGCUUGAGGACUGGAGAGGAGACUGGAAUUUACGGUGUAGCGGUGAAAUGCGUAGAUAUCGUAAGGAAGACCAGUGGCGAAGGCGGCUUCCUGGUCCAGCACCGACGUUCAGGCACGAAAGCGUGGGGAGCAAACAGG